rnacentral:rRNA from 1 species
UACGGAGGGUGCAAGCGUUAUCCGGAUUUACUGGGUUUAAAGGGUGUGUAGGCGGACUUUUAAGUCAGGGGUGAAAUCCCGAGGCUCAACCUCGGAACUGCCUUUGAUACUACUGGUCUUGAAUCUUGUUGAGGUGGGCGGAACGGGUCAUGUAGCGGUGAAAUGCAUAGAUAUGACCCGGAACACCGAUUGCGAAGGCAGCCCGCUAAGCAAGCAUUGACGCUGAGGCACGAAAGCGUGGGGAUCAAACAGG